AGAACACCUAAAAGUUUAGAAGAAUCAGGAUCGUUGAAAGCUAAUCUGAAUGCUGAGACACUCCCUCCAUCAAGAAAACAUGAAGAAGAGGUGGAUGAUGAAAGUGCACGAAAGAAAAGGAAGCAUGAAGAGAAGAAACAGGAGAAGCAUGAAGAGAAGAAACAUGAGAAGCAUGAAGAGAAGAAACACGAGAAGCAUGAAAAGCGUGAGAAGCGACGUACCCGUGCUUCAGUUGACAAAUCGAAACAUUCUCGUGAUUCUGAUGACAGGAGGAAGCACAAGAGAGACAAGGAAAGAAGACGACAUGAUUCUGA
rnacentral:lncRNA from 1 species